rnacentral:lncRNA from 1 species
AUUUUGAAUUUUGAAUUUUGAAUUUUAAAAUUUUAGAGAUUUAAUUGUUAUAAAUACUGUGGAAUUGAUCUGUAUCCAAAUAGCUUAAAAAUGAAGCUGUGGAAUUUUUUUGUAGUUACAGAAUUCCGUAUUUCAUUUAGGCCAAAACCAUAGAAUAAAAAUCCCAUGGAGUUUUUUAACUAUGCAUCCAAACUGGGCUUAAGAGUGCGUUUAAUUCCAUGUAAAACUAUGAAAAAAAAUUUCGGUGGAAAAUGUUGAAAAAUCUUUCUGAUCUUUUAUUACAAUAUUUUUUAAAAACCAAUUCGAAAAUUUAAUUUUCGAAAAAUAAUUUUUCACCGUCUCUUA